rnacentral:rRNA from 1 species
GUCCACGCUGUAAACGAUGAGAACUAGACGUUGGGAGACUUGAUCUAUUAGUGUCGCAGCUAACGCGCUAAGUUCUCCGCCUGGGGAGUACGGCCGCAAGGUUAAACUCAAAGGAAUUGACGGGGCCGCACAAGCGGUGGAGCAUGUGGUUUAAUUCGAUGCAACGCGCAGAACCUUACCUACCCUUGACAUCCAGGGAAUCUUGCAGAGAUGUGAGAGUGCCUUCGGGAGCCCUGAGACAGGUGCUGCAUGGCUGUCGU